rnacentral:rRNA from 1 species
GACGAACGCUGGCGGCGUGCCUAAUACAUGCAAGUAGAACGCUGAAGGAGGAGCUUGCUUCUCUGGAUGAGUUGCGAACGGGUGAGUAACGCGUAGGUAACCUGCCUGUUAGCGGGGGAUAACUAUUGGAAACGAUAGCUAAUACCGCAUAAUAGUUGAUGUUGCAUGACAUUUGCUUAAAAGGUGCAAUUGCAUCACUACCAGAUGGACCUGCGUUGUAUUAGCUAGUUGGUGGUGUAACGGCUCACCAAGGCGACGAUACUUAGCCGACCUGGUAGGGUGGUCGGCCACACUGGGACUGGGACACGGCCCAGACUCCUACGGGAGGCAGCAGUAGGGAAUCUUCGGGAAUGGACGGAAGUCUGACCGAGCAACGCCGCGUGAGUGAAGAAGGGUCUCGGAUCGUAAAGCUCUGUUGUAAGAGAAGAACGAGUGUGAGAGUGAAAAGUUCACACUGUGACGGUAUCUUACCAGAAAGGGACGGCUAACUACGUG